UUUGAACUAGGCUUCUGCCUCUGGUACUCAUCACUACAGCUGCAGGCUUUAACCUUUCUGCUUCAUUGCAAAUUACCUUUCCAGCAUCCCCUUGCACAAUCCGAGCCACAGUCCUAACCUAAUUAAAAACAAGAAAUAAAAAUAAAUUGAGGGAAAACAUCAAUUUCUGUGGAGAUUUUUGUUGUCCCUUGAUCAAUAGUUGAAGAACUUAGAGCUACAUAAUGUAAGUUAAAAUAAUUAGAUACUCUGCAUAUCACUACAAGAGCAUGAAUUAGAGUAAGAUUACAGGUACAAGAAUCAAAACAUCUUAGCUCAUGAAUCCAAAGCAAGUGGUUUAAUAGUCAAGGGAGAGCAAUUAAUAACAGAGAUCAUAUAUUAGGUGAAACUUAUGCAGAAAUAGAUCUGUUGUGAACCUAAUCAAAUUGUACUUGAUCAUGCAAAAUCAAGAUAAUUAACAGUUGAAAAACAAAACAUUGUCUUUAAAACGCUUAUUAUUCUAAUUUUUCAAUCAAGAUUUACUCUCGUGAACAAUAACAAUGGAGAAAAAUACUUUCUUUUAUAUAUAUCUAAAAAAAAAAAACAGAAUGGUAGGUCACUAACCAUGGCAACCUGCAAAGCCUCUACGGCAAGCUUCUCCAUGAGCUGCUGGCUUGUCUCAUAAACAACAGUAUUCUGCACACCUAAAAUAACCCAUAAAAGAAAUCAAGCCAAAAUUCCAAACCUCAAUUAUGCAGAACAUACAAA
rnacentral:lncRNA from 1 species